rnacentral:rRNA from 1 species
AUCGGAGUCUGNAACCCGACUCCGUGAAGCUGGAUUCGCUAGUAAUCGCGCAUCAGCCAUGGCGCGGUGAAUACGUUCCCGGGCCUUGUACACACCGCCCGUCAAGCCAUGGGAGCCGGGAGCGCUUGAAGUGCGUCGCCGCGAGGCGCGCCCUAGAGCGAGACCGGUGACUGGGGCUAAGUCGUAACAAGGUACC